GACGAACGUUGGCGGCGUGCUUAAUACAUGCAAGUCAACUGAAGCAGAGGUAGUAAUAUCUCUGUGGAGGUGGCGCACGGGUGAGUAACACGUAGGUAAUCUGCCUUCAGGUCUGACAUAACCCCGAGAAAUCGGGGCUAAUAGCAGAUGAUGCAGCGGCUUGACAUCAAGACAGUUGUUAAAGCUUCGGCGCCUGAAGAUGAGCCUGCGCUGAUUAGCUAGUUGGCGGAGUAACAGCCCACCAAGGCUACGAUCAGUAGCUGGUCUGAGAGGAUGAUCAGCCACACUGGAACUGAGACACGGUCCAGACUCCUACGGGAGCAGCAGUAAGAAUAUUGGACAAUGGGCGCAAGCCUGAUCCAGCGAUGCCGCGUGUGUGAAGAAGGCCUGCGGGUU
rnacentral:rRNA from 1 species